rnacentral:tRNA from 1 species
CUGAAGAUAAGUUAACAAAAAACUAAAGGUUUGUGGAACUUUAAAUAUAUUUAUUAUUCUUCAGU